rnacentral:rRNA from 1 species
ACUCCUACGGGAGGCAGCAGUAGGGAAUCUUCCACAAUGGGCGCAAGCCUGAUGGAGCAACACCGCGUGAGUGAAGAAGGGUUUCGGCUACGUAAAGCUCUGUUAGUUAAAGAAGAACACGUAUGAGAGUAACUGUUCAUACGUUGACGGUAUUUAACCAGAAAGUCACGGCUAACUACGUGCCAGCAGCCGCGGUAAUACGUAGGUGGCAAGCGUUAUCCGGAUUUAUUGGGCGUAAAGAGAGUGCAGGUCGGUUUUCUAAGUCUGAUGUGAAAGCCUUCGGCUUAACCGGAGAAGUGCAUCGGAAAACUGGAUAAACUUGAGUGCAGAAGAGGGUAGUGGAACUCCAUGUGUAGCGGUGGAAUGCGUAGAU